AUUGAACGCUGGCGGCAUGCCUUACACAUGCAAGUCGAACGGUAACGUGCCUGCGGGUGCCGACGGGUGGCGAAAGGGGGAGUAAUACAUCGGAACGUGCCCGAUCGCGGGGGAUAACGAGGCGAAAGAUUUGCUAAUACCGCAGACGAACUACGGAUGAAAGCUGGGGACCGCCAGGCCUUGCUCGGCCGGAUGGGGAGAUGGCGGAUUAGUUAGGUGGUGGGAUAUAAGCGUACCAAGGCGACGAUCUGUAGCUGGGCUGAGAGGAUGAUCAGCAACACUGGGACUGAGACACGGCCGCGACUCCUACGGUAGGCAGCAGUGGGGAAUCUUAGACGAUGGGCCCAAGCCUGAUCCAGCCAUGCCGGGUGCAGGAUGAAGGCGUUCGGGUUGUUAACUGCUUUUGUACGGAACGAAAUGCCUUCUUUUAAUACAGGAGGGUCAUGACGGUACCGUAAGAAUAAGCACCGGCUAACUACGUG
rnacentral:rRNA from 1 species